UCAGAUGACACACCUAGGACAUUAUGUUAUACAAUACAUGCAUGUUUUGUUCAAUCAAGUUCAUAUUUAUAUCAAAAAACAGCUUUUUACAUUAGCAUGUGACGUUCAGAACUAGCAUACCCGCAAACUUCCGGUGAAUUUACAAAGAAUUUACUAAAUUACUCACGAUAAACGUUCACAAAAAGCAUAACAAUUGUUUUAAGAAUUAUAGAUACAGAACUCCUCUAUGCACUCGAUAUGUCCGAUUUUAAAAUAGCUUUUCGGUGAAAGCACAUUUUGCAAUAUUCUCAGUAGAUAGCCCGGCAUCACAGGGCUAGCUAUUUAGACACCCAGCAAGUUUAGCACUCACCAAAGUCAGAUUUACUAUAAGAAAAAUGUUCUUACCUUUGGUGUUCUUCGUCAGAAUGCACUCCCAGGACUUCUACUUCAAUAACAAAUGUUGGUUUGGUCCCAAAUAAUCCAUUGUUAUAUCCAAACAGCGGCGUUUUGUUCGUGCGUUCAAGACACUAUCCGAAAGGGUAAAGAAGGGUGACGAGCAUGGCGCAUUUCGUGACAAUUUUUUUUGUAAAUAUUCCAUUACCGUACUUCGAAGCAUGUCAACCGCUGUUUAAAAUCAAUUUUUAUGCCAUUUUUCUCAUAAAAAAGCGAUAAUAUUCUGACCAGGAAUCUGCGUUUAGGUAAAAAGAGGAAAGAAAAUAAAGCACGGGGUCGACUCGUGCAUGCGCCUAAGCCCAUUGUCCUCUGAUCGGCCACUUGCCAAAAGCGUAAAUGUGUUUCAGCCUGGGGCUGCCUCGAUAUCAUUCAGCUUUUUCCCGGGCUCUGAGAGCCUAUGGGAGCCGUAGGAAGUGUCACGUUACAGCAAAGAUCCUCAGUCUUCAAUAAAAAGAGCCAAGAUGAACAACAACUUGUCAGACAGGCCACUUCCUGGCGGCAGGUAGCCUAGUGGUUCGAGCAUUGGACUAGUAACUGAAAGGUUGCAAGAUCGAACUGACAAGUCGUUACAGAAUCCCCCACCAACAACGGACCAAGCAGCGGAGGAAGGAGCAGCGCCAGGAGGAGCAAGAAUCCUGGACCAGGGAGAGAAAAGACUGGACAUGGGAGGACAUCCUGGAAGGCAAGGGAUCCUACACUUGGGAGGAGAUCCUGGUCGGAAGGGAUCGCCUCACAUGGGAACAGGUAGAGGCACUCAGAAGAGUGGAGGCAGCAGGAAAAAAGGACCAAAUGUAUGAGGGAACACGGCUGGGUAGGAAGCCCGAGAGGCACACGGGGAGUGUGGCAGAGUCAGGUUGGAGACCUGAGCCAGCUCCCCGUGCUUACAGGAGGCAGCGCAGUACUGGUCAGACACCGUGUUAUGCGGUAAAGCGCACGGUGUCCCCAGUACGCGUGCAGAGCCCGGUGCGCUACAUCCCAGCUCCUAACAUCUGCCGGGGGAGGUUGGGCAUCGAGCCAGGGCAGGUUGUGCAGGCCGUGCGCUCUAGACCUCCAGUGCGUCUUCUGGACCCGGUCCGUCCUGUGCCUCCUCCUAGGACUAGGCCUCCAGUGGGUCUCCCUAUCCUGGUCUGUCCUGUG
rnacentral:lncRNA from 1 species